UACGGAGGGUGCGAGCGUUGUCCGGAAUCAUUGGGCGUAAAGGGCGCGUAGGUGGCCCGGUCAGUCUUUGGUGAAAGCGCGGGGCUCAACCCUGCGUCGGCCAGGGAUACUGCCGCGGCUCGAGCACUGUAGAGGCAGGCGGAAUUCCGGGUGUAGCGGGGGAAUGCGUAGAGAUCCGGAAGAACACCGGUGGCGAAGGCGGCCUGCUGGGCAGUUUUGCUGACACUGAGGCGCGACAGCGUGGGGAGCAAACAGG
rnacentral:rRNA from 1 species